ACCUCGGUCUAAUAUCGGAAGCCCGAGAU
rnacentral:sRNA from 1 species